rnacentral:rRNA from 1 species
AUUGAACGCUGGCGGCAGGCCUAACACAUGCAAGUCGAGCGGAUGAGUGGAGCUUGCUCCAUGAUUCAGCGGCGGACGGGUGAGUAAUGCCUAGGAAUCUGCCUGGUAGUGGGGGACAACGUUUCGAAAGGAACGCUAAUACCGCAUACGUCCUACGGGAGAAAGCAGGGGGACCUUCGGGCCUUGCGUUAUCAGAUGAGCCUAGGUCGGAUUAGCUAGUAGGUGAGGUAAUGGCUCACCUAGGCGACGAUCCGUAACUGGUCUGAGAGGAUGAUCAGUCACACUGGAACUGAGACACGGUCCAGACUCCUACGGGAGGCAGCAGUGGGGGAAUAUUGGACAAUGGGCGAAAGCCUGAUCCAGCCAUGCCGCGUGAGUGAUGAAGGCCUUAGGGUUGUAAAGCUCUUUUACCCGGGAUGAUAAUGACAGUACCGGGAGAAUAAGCUCCGGCUAACUCCGUGCCAGCAGCCGCGGUAAAGUGACUAC